CCUUUCUGUGUGAGUCCUUCAAAACUUAGGUGUGCUGGGAAGUUCACUGAGAGUUCUCACAAAAACCCAGGUUUGUCAUGUGAGAAGACUCUUUCCUAUGGUCAAGACUUUAUAAAACAGAGCUGCUGACUGCUUUGUGCAGAAAUCCUGAUGCAUCUCUGCUCACUGCCUUCACAUCAUCCCUUCCCUACGGACGUGGCACAAAAAGAGCCGCCCCACUGAAGGCAGUUACAGAAUUCCUG
rnacentral:lncRNA from 1 species